AGGCCUGCGAGGUGUCUCACUUCUCUUACAAGAGAGAUGGGUGGGAAAUGAAACCUCCUGGGAUCCAGACAAAGCCUUGGGUGUUGCUGGGGACAUGUCCUUUGCUAAUGGACAGACAAUCUUGUAUAGAGACAUUCCAGCUUAACCUGGAGCUGUGCUCUCUGCUGGGAUGCGGGUCCUUUCCCAUGGGGGCCUUUGCUUGAGCGUCUAAGGACUUUCCAGUGAGAAAACUGAUUCUGACGACGACACAGUUGAAAUAACUCUUUUGUGGAGGCUGGCUACAUUUUCACAGCGUCUGGUUCCAAGCUAGAUCUUCGGGAAAAGGGAACAAGGAAAUGACUAUUCCUCCAAAUAAAAUGCUGCACAUCUUUCAUGGAUUCUGGUCCACCUCGUCCUCACGCGGGGAUGCAGACUGACAAGUUUCCACCAUGAAGGGUUAUUAUGUGCCAUAGCAGGGAGAGGAAAAUGGAGCAAAUCAGUCACCAGCUCGUCACACAGCAGAGUGUCUCACGUCACAUCUGCUGAUAUGUUAUGGCCAAAGUACAUGACUAUCUCCAAGGAGCUGAGAGGUGAAAUACCGACAUUCGUCUGGAUGGAGUAGAACCAGGAGAGUCGUAAACAUCCUAUGGACUACACACUGUUUAACAAGAUGCAACAGUAUUCUAGGUAAGAGACCAUGGAGAGGCAUUUAUGAAAGCAUUUUUAAAUCAAAUUAGAAUUACUAAAAUUUGUCGAUUAAUUGGAUGUGAGAGUUGAGGGAGAUGGAAGAGUCAGGGAUCAUUUCCCUGUGAUGGAUAAGACAACUGGAUAAAUGCUAUAAAGUAUCCUGAGUUAGAGAAAGUAGAAGAUAUUUUGGAGUGGGAGGGGACAUUCAAACAGAGAUGUCUAGUACACAGCUGGAAAUGAGAUCAGAAGAGAGGUCUGGGCCGAAAAAUAAAUUUUAGAGUGUUUGACAUCCAAAUGGUACUUGAAACCAAUGGAACAAAGAUUUGUGUGGGAGGGUAAGCAAAUCAUUGUUCUUUGAGACUUUCUUGAUUUUGGCACUGAAAGUCGUAUGUCAUGCGAAUAUUCUCAGGCUUGAAUGAACUGCAGUAGUUGGUCACCCUGUGAGAGUGUGUGAAUUAAAAGAACACCAAGACAGAUUUGUGAGGUGAAAACAUGUACUGGUCAGGUUGAACAAGAGUUGUUGUCAAAUGAUACUGAGAAAAAUAGUCAUGAAGACAGAAGGCAAGUCAGAGGAAUAUCAGAAUCCCAGAAAGCAAGGAAAGAGUUUCAACAAGGAGAGAGUGAGGGGCCAACAGGGCCAAAUGGUACCCCAAGGUUAGGUAGGACUCAGAUUGCAAAUGUCCAUUGCUGAGGGACUGGAAAACAGCUGAAAUAGGACUCCCAGUUGUUCACACAGCCAAGCAGAGAUCACGCAGGGAGGGGACGGCUUGUCCAAACACAGGAGGCUGACACAUCAGGAAAGGGUCUGAGCUUGUCCUGGGUGUAGUGACCAGAUACAGCAGACAGCAUAGCAGCUUCUCACAUAGCAGAAAAGAAAUGAUGCAGAUCUAGGUUCUUGACUUGCAGUUCACUGCAUACCUCCUCAGGCUGCUGGACUGCAGAAUUCCAAAGGAAUUCAUUUAACACGUAAGAGGAAUCAAAAAGGAUACUCCUCAAUUAUACAAAUGCAGGACACAGAUAAAACUCUCUUUUAAAGGUGAAUAGAGAGAAAAUAGCCAACUGGGGCCUAUGGAGAGACUCUGAAACAUAAAUGAAGAUAAACUAUAAGAAACAUAAAGAACAUUUUAAUAAACAUGAUUUUUCUUUCUCAGUACAAUUCAAGAAAGCAUGAAUCAGUUAUUGGGGUUUUUCCUAUAGAGUUGUAGGAAUUCCUUACAUAUUUUGGGUAUUAACUCCUUAUUAGAUAUAUGGUCUACAAAUAUUUUCUUCCAUUCCACAGGUUGCCUUUCAUUCUGCUAAUUGUUUUCUUAGCUAUACAGAAGCUUUUUAGUUAAUAUAAUUGCACGUACCUAGUUUUGCUUUUUUCUUUUUCUUUUUUUUUUUUUGCCUGUGCUCUUGGUGUUUUAUAGAAGAGAUUAUUGCCCAGACCAACAUCUAGAAGAUUUCCUCCCAUGUUUUAUUUUAAUAUUUUAUGUAUCAUGUCUUAUAUUUAAGUCUUUAAUCCACU